UACGUAGGGGGCAAGCGUUGUCCGGAUUUAUUGGGCGUAAAGAGCUCGUAGGCGGCGUGGUAAGUCAGCUGUGAAAUCUCCGAGCUUAACUCGGAACGGUCAGCUGAUACUGCUGUGCUAGAGUACAGAAGGGGCAAUCGGAAUUCUUGGUGUAGCGGUGAAAUGCGUAGAUAUCAAGAGGAACACCUGAGGUGAAGACGGGUUGCUGGGCUGAUACUGACGCUGAGGCGCGAAAGCUAGGGUAGCAAACGGG
rnacentral:rRNA from 1 species